ACAAUUCCUAACAGCCGAUAGGCUGUUAGGAAUUGUGGGAGUUGAAGUCCAAAACCCCUGGAGGGCCCAAGUUUGCCCCUACCUGAUAUAGAAGCCCCCGAGAAUAUUGAUUCCUCCCUUAUGUGCGGAAUUCUGCCAACGCCCACUAGAUGGUGCACCAUAUCUAUAGAAGAGUUACAAUUUCUCAAGCCACGCAAAACCCUGAAGGAUUUCUAAAAUACUUGGGAUCAACGUAAGUGUCCUGUCUACAUUUCAAGCCUAGGGCUUACUUUCCGGCUGGGUGAAAUAAUCUUCCACAACACAGAAGAGGACAAAGGUCUUAAACAACAGAAAUAGGAUGCUAAUUGAUUUGACUGUAUGUUUUUUCUACUCCUCGAGUCUGAUUUUGCAAACAUUUGCUGUGAGUUUUCCGGGUUGUAUGGCUAUGUUCCAGAAGCACUCCCUCCUGACGUUUCGCCCACAUCUGUGGCAGGCAUCCUCAGAGGUUGUGAGGUCUGUUGGAAACUAGGCCAGUGAGGUUUAUAUAUCUGGAAUAAUGUCCAGGGUGCGAGAAAAAUACUCUUGUCUGUUUGAGGCAAGUGUGAAUGUUGCAAUUGAUCGCCUUGAUUAGCAUUGAAUAGCCUUGCAGCUUCAAAGUUUGGCUGCUUCCUUCCUGGGGGAAUCCUUUGUUGGGAGGUGAUUAGCUUGCCCUGAUUGUUUCAUGCCUGGAAUCCCCCUGUUUUUGAGUGUUGUUCUUUUUUUCCCAUCUUUUACUAAACAAAUGGUUUAAAAAUACUAAUCAAGAUAAGGAAAACUGACUGCAUUCCAUUAAAAUAUUUUCUUGAUUUGCAUUUUUUAAAAAUAUGUUUUUAUUGUAAAACAUGGAUUUUUACAAAAAAAAUAACAACAAAAUCCAUCUCUAUUGCGAUAUACACAUCAAAUUAUAUAUUCUCAAUAACAUUACAUUUGCUAAUUCCACCUUUGUCUCCCACUUAUGUCUAUUGGUUUUCACCCCUCCCUCCUCCCCCCACCCUCUGGGAACUGUACUUUCUUUCAUUCAGAUAUUAUUUUAAUUGAUCAAUCGUAAAUAGAAAAUGAUUCAAUUCUUUAUAUUUUCUUUGUCCUUUGACUUUCUCUAUCAAUCUUCCCCAUUUCAGAUCCCAGUUCUUUUUGAUUCGGCCUGAUAUAUAUUUAGUUCUCCUUUCAAGGAUGUAAUCCUGAAGCAUAAAAUCAGCAAGGUAUUCAUACCAUUUUUUAACCUCCCACUUUGUUUGCUCUUUCCAACCCAAGGCAACUGUUGCUUGAGCGGCAACUAUCAUGUAUUUUAUAAUUUCCCCCCAGUCCUUAGUGUUUUUGUUCUUGUGUAGUUUCUGGAUGAAGAAAUCUUUAUUUUUCAAAACCAAUUUAUGUCCUGUUAAAUCUUCUAUUUCCUUCUUUACCUUGUUAUAAAAUGUUUGUACUUUAUCAUAUUCCCACCACAUAUGAAUAUAGGAGCCAAUUUUUUCUCAUCCAUGCCAACACAAUUUUGUGGUUGUUUUAGUUAUAUAAGCUAAUUGGAUUGGGGUUCUAUACCAUUUAGUCAUUAUUUUUCUUUGUUCUGACCUUUUCGCCUAAACAUUUCCUCACCUGGGAAGGUCAGCCAGCUGUCUUCCUGGGCUUCAUCUACAUGAGACUGGAAUCAAUCACCCAUCACGUUUGGAUCAGUCCAUCUCUACUGAUCCCAUAACUUCCAGCUGUGCAUAGGACAAUAGGAUAUGUUGUCGAAGGCUUUCAUGGCCGGGAUCACAGGGUUGUUGUAUGUCUUUCGGGCUGUGGCCAUGUUCUACAAGUAUUCUGGAAUACUUCUGGAACAUGGCCACACAGCCGGAAAGACAUACAACAACCCUGACAAUAGGAUCCUUUCACUGGGCCACCUGCCUUUUGUCUUAACUACCUGGACAAGUGACUCACUCACCACCCGGUGUCGUACCUCAGCGCUGGUUCACCUUGCUACACACACACACACUCCACCACAGCAGGCUUGAGUUUUUCAGUUUAUUGAUAAAAAAAAUAACAAAACUUAAUAAAAAGCAGUAAAGCAAACAAUAAUCCAAUUGAGAGUGCAAUCUGUAAAACACAGUUCAGAGUGUUUAUAGAUAAAAGUACAGAGUUCCAAGAAUAACAAAUCAAUUCCAGAGAAACCAGAAAACAUGAGCUUCAAAAGUAUAAUCCAAACACAUGAGACGAGGCAAGAGCCGAAACUAAGAAAGAGUUGAAUCAUCAACAGCGAUGUUGCUCUGACUGAAAUCUUUCCAAAUUACAUCUCCUUUAAAACCUCCUUGCAACCUAAGAACACAUUCCUCUGGGCUCUAGUCCCCCCCCCCCCCGCCCCCACGCUUGCCUCCCAAUUCUCACAGAGCGUCUGGGGCCUGAUCUCAAUUUCAACCUGGAAUCCCUGUCUAACACAAAUUCAUCCCCCUCAUUUCCAUCUGGACUUUGUUGACAAUUCUCAGACUCCCGUGAAAGGUCAUCCUUAUCACAAACUUCGGCAACAUCUCUGCUAAACUCAGAGCUAUCCACAUUCCCCUGUUUUGUCUGUUUCUCUAAGCUAUCAACACUUUCUGAAUCCACCUGCAUUUCAGAAACGUCAACAUUCCCAGGGACAAACUGCUGUUCAAACUGCUGUUCCACAAAUCCCCCUUCAUCAUCAGACUGAACCACAACGCCCGGUAUGACCAGCCAGUACACCAGGAGGCCAAACCUCGUUGUCACACAAAAACAUUUCCCCUUUCCCAGGAACUUGCCACUUAAUCCUUUCAGGAUGGACAAAAUAUUUAUGUUUUUGGAUUCUAUUAACAUCAACACCAGAGGCAUUCCACCCAUUCUCUGGGAACUUGUAUAACAAUCAUGUCAACAAUAAAGACUCCUGGGACCUGAUGGCCCUUGCUAGGACCACAUAACCCAUUCAUAACUCAUUUCAGCACCUUUGUCUCCUGGACUUCCCCACCCUGUUUCGGCCAAUGGACAGAGACAAAUCUACAUCGGAGGCGAGGAGCACCUCCCCAUUGGCCAGCAGGUGCUGCAGUCCCGCCUCUGUGGGGAGUCCUCCCUGAUGUCAUCGGAGCUCAGCCAAUCACAGUGGAGCCGGGAACAGCUGGAAGUGUCCUGGCACUAAUCUCAUGUAUUUUCUGGAUCCGGCGGCUUCCUUAACCGUUGAACUGCAAGCUUGGUUAUAAUUUCCCUGAACUGGUGAAAAACAUGCAGAGUAGCUGGCUGAACUGCUGAUCUGAAGGUUGGGUUGCUGACCUGAAGAUUGCGGGUUUGAAUCCGCCAGAUGGAGUGAGCUCCUGUCUGUCAGCUCUAGCUUGUGAGGACAUGAGAGAAGCCUCCCAGCUAACACAUCCGGGAGUCCUCUUGGCAACGUCUCUGUAGAUGGCCAAUUCUCUCACACCAGAAGAACUAGCAGUAUGUUCUCUAGUCGCUUCUUAUAUGAUAAAAACAAAACUCAGAUGAUCAAAUCGGAUAACUCACAUUAUCUGCUUUGAACUGGAUUAUAUAAGUCUACACUGCCAUAUAAUCUGGAUUUUAUAUAGCAGGGUAGAUGGGGCCUAACUUUUUCCAUUCCCACUUUCCAAUCAGCUGUCUCAGGGCUGCAGUUUCUUUGCUUGUAUGAUCCAUCAUAGAAACUCAAGAAGAAUGAGGGAUUAUCACUUUCUCCAUGAGUUAAAUGUGUUUAUUCUCAAGUUGUUUUCAUUCCAAAUAUGAGGACAUUUGUGAAUUAUGGUACAUUCUUAUUGGAACCAGUCUGAAACAAAAUUUUGAUCUACCUGAACUAGCUAAAUUUAAUAUGUCCAGCUAUUUCAGGCAUGGUAAGGAUCAUUUUUCUUGUUAGAGAUGAGGAAACUCUUUUUAAAAAGGAAGGAAGGAGGAAGAGAAGGACAGAUGGAAGGGAAAGAGAUGGCAAGACAAAGUUCCUGCAUGGGGAUCUAUGCCCUGAACACUGAAAGAGAUCUACACUGUAAAAUUAAUGCAGCUUGACACCACUUUAACUGCUCAAUGCCAUGAAAUCACAGAAGUUGCAGUUUUACAAGGUCUUCAGCCUUCUCUAACAAAUAGUGCUAGUUUCCCACCAAACUACAACACCCAAGAUUUCACAUCAUUGAGCCAUUGCAGCUAAAGUGGUGUCAAACUGCAUUCAUUCUGUAGUACAAAUGUGACCCUAGAUGGGAAAAUCUCUGUUUCAUUUGUGUGCAACCCACAAACUCUUCCAAAUUAAAUUCAAAUAACUCUACUAAUGUUGAUAAAUUGUUAUCAAAUAGUCACUGUAGAAAGAAGGAAAACAGAUAUAGUUCUUGCUUUCUCAGCUAUGAUUGUCAUCUAGUGCUGCUACAGGCAUAUUUCUUUUCAUGCUCGCCUUUUGGGAACUACUGUGUAAAUCUCUGUAACUGGUCACAUCCGGCAUAAGAACAAAGCCCCCCAGGCCUUGACUUUCCUGUAUCCAAACAAUACUAACAGCAGCGCUUACAGGACACAUGAGUCAUGACACACUUUGCGUGUUACAACAUCCCACCAACUUUUCCUGUUCCUAUUCAAGUUCUCCCUAGGAAAAAAAAAGACACUUCUGCCUUUGAGAAGAAAAAACCCAAAGUUCAAUACAGUUAGUCAAGUCACACCCAGAAGCAGUGAGUCAGUGUGAUGUAUUGAGCAUCUCUGUACGCAAAGUUUUAUUGCCUGUUCCAUCCAGGAGGAUUACCAGAAAGAUUCUGCAACUACAUGGAAAGUGGUAUGGAGAAAUGUAUUAGCCAUAGCAUGCUGUCAUAAAGCACAUAUUUUGCAGAUGUGAUUCCUACCCAAUUCUGGGAUUUGCAGGAUUCCCUCUUCUAUUUCACACUAUACUACAAAAUGAAUUGGCUGACCUUGGACCGGUCAUUUUUCCUCAUGGUGCAUCUACACUGCAGAAUUAAUGCAGUUUGAUACCACUUUAACUGCAAUGGUUCAGUGCUAUGGAAUCCUUGGCGCUAUAAUUUGGUGAGGCAUCAGAACCCGAUGGCAGAGAAGGUUAGAGACCUUAAAAAACUACAGCUCCCAUAAUUCCAUAGCAUUGAGCCAUGGCAGUUAAAGUAGUGUCAAAAUGCAUUAAUGUUGACAAUGUAGAUGCAGCCUCAGUUGGACCUUCCUUGACAGAUUGCUGGAAGAAAGGUGAUAAAUACAGGUAAUAUAUAAGUAAUAAGCUAAGGUUGCUAUCUUACAAGCCAGGGUGAGACUUCAAAUGUAUGCAAGAAGACAAUUUUUCUCAGUCAUUCUUCCUAAUCCUACAAACUAUUAAAAACUUCCCUAAAAUUUGCCUGUAAGUGACUUUUGGUUUCUAGAAUUCCUCUUCCAGUUACCAAAAAUGUUGGUAUUACAAGUCAGUGCUGGAAGAACAGAUUUUUUUUUCAAACCCGUCAAGUAAUUUACUCCAAUAUCAUCUCCUCGGACUUGCAACGGCCCUCCAGGGACACGGAGACAUUAAGUUCUUUCUCAUUUCCUGCAAUUGUAUGCCACAUUUGUGUUUUUAUUUAUUAGGGCAUUUAUACCCCUUCCUUCAGCCAAAUAGACUUCCAAAGCAGAGUCUUCUAUUCACAUAUGAUGGCUAAUUCAAGUGACUACAUCACAGGGGUUAAAAACAAAAAAUAAAAAACAAGAUUUGUUUAGGAGGGGCUUGGCAUUAUCUUUCUCAGAAGCUGACACUGUCACUUGCCUGAGAUCACUUAAUAGGUUUCCAUAAUUAAGUGGGGAUUUGAACCCAGGUCUCCUAGUUGAACACUCAAGCCAUUACACCACUCAGACUGUACCACUAAGCUGCAAUCCUGUAGCACUCACUGGAUGUGUGCUUUGAGAGCUGGUGUUUCCUUAGAAAUUAUUUGUGUAUAUAUUCUGUUAUGUUUUUACUUUAUACUUUCUCCAAAUUCCUUAAGGAUUGAUCCAGUGCUAUCAAGAGUCAAAGAGCCAAGGUCACCCAGUUGGAUUUUGGGGCCAAGAUGAUAACCCAGAUCUCCCCAGUUCAAUGAGAUAAUCACUAAGCAACAGCAAUUGUACACUGGAAAAGUAUGGCUAACUUCAACAGAAUUACUUUUGAGCUGGUUCUUCUCAUAAUUUGAUCUUGGGAUCAUGUCCAAGCAGAAACACAACAAAAGAUAUAAUGGACAGAAGAGAGCCAGUGUGGUACUGUGAUUUAAGUGUUGGAUUUAGACACUGGGAAAUGACAACCUUCUUCAAGCCUUCUCUAAUAAUCUGUUUGUCUAUGAUUCUGUUGCUUACUGUUUCCUGUGUGUGUCCUGGUAUGCAUGCUCUAUGGUUUCUGAGAAGUUGUGGAAGGGAUUGCUGACCACAUGUUCUCUCUCUCUCUCUCCUUUUGACUAUGUGACCUGCUGAUAGCUGUUUUGUUACGAGAGGCGCUGGUCAGAUGGCACAGAGAAUUAUCUGAAACAUAUCUGAAACUGGAUGGAUAAGUUUUAUCUCGGUGUAUGCUGAACACCUGAAGGUUGCAAGUAAACCAAAUAUGUUAUUUUUUUAAUCAAAGUCUACUUUAUCUUUGGCUCUUGAGUGCAUGAUAUAAAUGCAUGGGAGAGUAUAUAUAUAGCAGAGUCUCACUUAUCCAAGACUUGCUUAUCCAAGGUUCUGGAUUAUCCAAGGCAUUUUUGUAGUCAAUGUUUUCAAUAUAUCAUGAUAUUUUGGUGCUAAAUUCGUAAAUACAGUAAUUACAACAUAACAUUACUGCAUAUUGAACUACUUUUUCUGUCAAAUUUGUUGUAUAACAUGAUGUUUUGGUGCUUAAUUUGUAAAAUCAUAACCUAAUUUGAUGUUUAAUAGGCUUUUCCUUAAUCCCUCCUUAUUAUCCAAGAUAUUCGCUUAUUCAAGGUAUUGCUGGCCCGUUUAGCUUGGAUAAGUGAGACUCUACUGUAUAUUGAACAUUGAAAAAUAUUUCUGAAGCACUGCUGUUUUUUUAUGCAGUGGCAAAAUCUCUGUUUUCCUAACAGAUCAGAGAUAACAGGUUAUUCAGUCUAACAACUGAAACCAUUGUCUUGCACAAUUAUAUCUGGUUGUAUACCACAAGAGAAGAUUAUACUCUAAAGGGUUUUUGGCUCUUCUCUGAAAGGUCAUGCUUUUCUAAAAAGUUAUUAUUUCCAAAGGGUUAUGAAUUCCAUUUUCCAACCCCCCCCCCCCAAAAAAAAACAAAACAAAAACAAAACAAAACAAAAAAACCAGGGUUUGAAUCCCCACUUGGCUAUGGAAACCUAAUGAGUGACUUUGGGCAAAUCUGAGGCCGCAUCUACACUGCCAUAUAAUGCAGUCUGAAACUGUGUUUUAUGGUCAGAUUCCUAUAAUACAAUUCAAUGUAGUUAAACUGCGUUAUAUGAGUCUACACACUGACCAUAUAAUUAUAUGGCAGUCUAGAUGGAGCCACACUUUCUCUGCAUCAAAGGAAGGCAAGGACAACUGCCCUCUGAAAAAGUCUCAAAUCUUGUGACAGGUUUUCCUUAGUGUAAACAAGAAACGACCUGAAGGCACACAACAAGAACAAUAAUGUUUACAGCCACUACAUGUCCUAACAACAGCUGUCUUCGGAGCACCUUGUGAAACAGAUGAUGUAAGAUAAGACACAAAAGCGUGGCGUCCUCAGUUCAGUUGUAACCUGAAGGAGAGCUUAUCUGAUAUCUUUCCAAUGGAAAAAAAACACGCAGAGCUGUCUCCUCUCUGAAUGUCGUCACCGGAAAAAAACAGUAUCUAUUUGCCAAGAAUAUAGCCUUCUUUGUGGUGGCACCAUAACUUGGAAUGCCCUCCUGAAAUAGGUAUGAUUGGAGACCUGUUUUUCUUUUCAGCAUCAAAUAAAAAUAUCCCCCUUUACCCAGGCAUUUAAGCAUCUGUGUGUUUGUACAUAUAUAGCCAGCCCUCCACAUUCAUCGAUAGAUUCAACUAACCAUGGUUUGCAAAUAGGUAAGGACAUUGGUAGCAGAACUGCUUCAAAACCAUAGAUUCUAGAUUUCCACAGUCAGUAAUAAUAUUAGGUA